rnacentral:rRNA from 1 species
UACGGAAGGCAGCAGUGGGGAAUAUUGCACAAUGGGCGCAAGCCUGAUGCAGCCAUGCCGCGUGUAUGAAAAAGGCCUUCGGGUUGUAAAGUACUUUCAGUCGUGAGGAAGGUGUUAAGGUUAAUAACCUUAGCAAUUGACGUUAGCGACAGAAGAAGCACCGGCUAACUCCGUGCCAGCAGCCGCGGUAAUACGGAGGGUGCGAGCGUUAAUCGGAAUUACUGGGCGUAAAGGGCACGCAGGCGGUUAAUUAAGUUGGAUGUGAAAUCCCCGGGCUUAACCUGGGAAUGGCAUUCAAGACUGGUUAGCUAGAGUCUUGUAGAGGGGGGUUAGAAUUCCAUGUGUAGCGGUGAAAUGCGUAGAGAUGUGGAGGAAUACCGGUGGCGAAGGCGGCCCCUGGGACAAAGGACUGACGCUCAUGUGCGAAAGCGUGGGGAGCAAACGAGGGAUUAGAUACC